AUUGAACGCUGGCGGAAUGCUUUACACAUGCAAGUCGAACGGCAGCACGGGGCAACCUGGUGGCGAGUGGCGAACGGGUGAGUAAUACAUCGGAACGUGCCCAGUCGUGGGGGAUAACGUAGCGAAAGUUACGCUAAUACCGCAUACGAUCUAAGGAUGAAAGCGGGGGAUCGCAAGACCUCGCGCGAUUGGAGCGGCCGAUGUCAGAUUAGGUAGUUGGUGGGGUAAAGGCCCACCAAGCCGACGAUCUGUAGCUGGUCUGGGAGGACGACCAGCCACACUGGGACUGAGACACGGCCCAGACUCCUACGGGAGGCAGCAGUGGGGAAUUUUGGACAAUGGGCGCAAGCCUGAUCCAGCAAUGCCGCGUGCAGGAUGAAGGCCUUCGGGUUGUAAACUGCUUUUGUACGGAACGAAACGGCGAGCUCUAAUACAGUUUGCUAAUGACGGUACCGUAAGAAUAAGCACCGGCUAACUACGUGCCAGCCGCCGCCGUAA
rnacentral:rRNA from 1 species